rnacentral:rRNA from 1 species
CCCUGCCAUUUGUACACACCGCCCGUCGCUACUACCGAUUGAAUGAUUUAGUGAGGUCUUCGGACCGGUUCGCGGUGGCGCUUCGGCGUCGCCGAUGUUGCUGGGAAGAUGACCAAACUUGAUCAUUU